UACGAAGGGGGCGAGCGUUGUUCGGAAUUACUGGGCGUAAAGGGCGCGCAGGCGGCGAGUUUUGUCAGGCGUGAAAGCCCCGGGCUCAACCUGGGAAUUGCGCUUGAAACGGGCUUGCUGGAGACCGGGAGAGGAGAGUGGAAUUCCCAGUGUAGAGGUGAAAUUCGUAGAUAUUGGGAAGAACACCGGUGGCGAAGGCGGCUCUCUGGACCGGAUCUGACGCUGAGGUGCGAAAGCGUGGGGAGCAAACAGG
rnacentral:rRNA from 1 species